rnacentral:rRNA from 1 species
UACAGAGGGGGCAAGCGUUGUUCGGAAUUACUGGGCGUAAAGGGCGCGUAGGCGGCCCGCUAAGUCGAACGUGAAAUCCCCAGGCUCAACCUGGGAACUGCGUCCGAUACUGGCAGGCUUGAAUCCGGGAGAGGGAUGUGGAAUUCCAGGUGUAGCGGUGAAAUGCGUAGAUAUCAGGAGGAACACCGAUGGCGAAGGCAGCUCACUGGGACGGUACUGACGCUGAGACGCGAAAGCGUGGGGAGCAAACAGG